GACGGAGGGUCCUAGCGUUGUUCGGAAUAACUGGGCGUAAAGGGUACGUAGGCGGUUUGGUCAGUUAGAUGUGAAAGCCCAGGGCUCAACCUUGGAACUGCAUUUAAUACUGCCAGACUUGAGAUCGGAAGAGGAAAGUGGAAUUUCUAGUGUAGAGGUGAAAUUCGUAGAUAUUAGAAGGAACAUCAGAGGCGAAGGCG
rnacentral:rRNA from 1 species